ACUUGUAAAUUCCAAUACCACAGCUACUUACGAUUGUUGCUUCUUAUCUCACCUUAAUUCUUAUCGUUCCUUCCCUGUUAUUACUUCCGAUCGCAGCUUGCUUCCCCUGUAAUUCACAUCAUGCUCAUGCAUAAGGUUAUGCAAUUGUUCAUCUGAUGUGCUUAAUGUCCCAAGCUUGACAAUUCUCAUUAAUCUCUUCGUGUUCCAGACUGAUACGUUUUCGGGAUUUAGAAUAUGGAGGUGAUCAAUUAUUAUCCCCUGUUCUUUUUCAUCGUUUCUUGAUGCCAACUGGUUGGGGUUGUAAUCUUCCACUCCCUAUCAUUUUACCAAAUUUUGAUGGAAAGACAACUUCCCUAAAAUUUAGAGCCAAUGGUGGGCAUGAGAGUCAAGCACUUAAAGUGCAUGCAACAUCAUUUGCCUCUUUCAAAGUAACCAUAUUUACUUUAAUACUGCAACUGAAAAAAAGAUAGUUGCUUUCUAUAUCUAUUCAUAUUGUAACCGGUUGCAUAAGGUUGAUUGGAUAUUUAUACAUUUUAAAUAGUUCUCUGGAAAUGAUAAUCCUUCUAUUCUUAUUUCUUUUGCCACCACAAGCUCCAACUUUUCUGACAUCUGAAGCUUCAUCAGUCGGGGGUUUUUAUGAUGUUAAUAGACGUGGGCAGGUCUUACUUGCCACUGCAAAUGAAUCAACUAUUGUGCCUUUUGUUAGUGGACAGCAACAAGGGAGAAUAAGAGGUCGCUCCUUUGUAUUAAGAGCUUGCAAUAGGGAAGAAGCCAAGAUGCGAUAGGGAAGCCCAACGAAUUUGUGAUUGUAAUGAGCCUCAACACAUGUAACUGAUCAUGAGGAAUUAAAUGAAUUAAACCUCGUCUGAAGGCAAAUGAAUUAUAACUGUGAUUUGUAAAGGAAGGGCGAUAUUGUCCAUUUGAUUGUUGUUUUUAGUUUUAAUGAUUUAAGGUUAUAAAAAAGGAUUAUAAAUCAAUAAAAACUAGAUUUGGGUA